CGCAAUGCGUCGUCCCCCCACCCCCUCACCCAUGUCCCGAAAGGGUCGCGGGCCUUAGCGUGGGGGGGCGGAAGUUGGCUUCCCGUGCAGCGUUUGCGGCUAGCCUGAAACAACGGUUCCCUCGGCGCGGACGUCGCGACAAGUGGUGGUCCGUGGAGAUUGUACGCGAGUUGCCGGCAAGCUGCGUCGAGGAGAGCAAUUGGACCCUGCGCGAGACGAGUCCCUUCGGCGAGGGGCA
rnacentral:misc_RNA from 1 species